AACACAUGCAAGUCGGACGGCAGCGCGGGGGUAACCCUGGCGGCGAGAGGCGAACGGGUGAGUAAUACAUCGGAACGUGUCCUGGAGUGGGGGAUAGCCCGGCGAAAGCCGGAUUAAUACCGCAUACGCUCUGAGGAGGAAAGCGGGGGAUCUUCGGACCUCGCGCUCAAGGGGCGGCCGAUGGCGGAUUAGGUAGUUGGUGGGGUAAAGGCCUACCAAGCCGACGAUCCGUAGCUGGUCUGAGAGGACGACCAGCCACACUGGGACUGAGACACGGCCCAGACUCCUACGGGAGGCAGCAGUGGGGAAUUUUGGACAAUGGGCGAAAGCCUGAUCCAGCAAUGCCGCGUGUGUGAAGAGGGCCUUCGGGUUGUAAAGCACUUUUGUCCGGAAAGAAAGCACUCGCCCUAAUACGGUGGGUGGAUGACGGUACCGGAAGAAUAAGCACCGGCUAACUACGUGCCAGCAGCCGCGGUAAUACGUAGGGUGCGAGCGUUAAUCGGAAUUACUGGGCGUAAAGCGUGCGCAGGCGGUGAUGCAAGACCGAUGUGAAAGCCCCGGGCUCAACCUGGGAACUGCAUUGGUGACUGCAUCGCUGGAGUAUGGCAGAGGGGGGUGGAAUUCCACGUGUAGCAGUGAAAUGCGUAGAGAUGUGGAGGAACACCGAUGGCGAAGGCAGCCCCCUGGGCCAAUACUGACGCUCAUGCACGAAAGCGUGGGGAGCAAACAGGAUUAGAUACCCUGGUAGUCCACGCCCUAAACGAUGUCAACUGGUUGUCGGGCCUUCAUUGGCUUGGUAACGUAGCUAACGCGUGAAGUUGACCGCCUGGGGAGUACGGUCGCAAGAUUAAAACUCAAAGGAAUUGACGGGGACCCGCACAAGCGGUGGAUGAUG
rnacentral:rRNA from 1 species